AUUGAACGCUGGCGGCAGGCCUAACACAUGCAAGUCGAGCGAGCGGCGGACGGGUGAGUAAUGUCUGGGAACCUGCCUGAUGGAGGGGGAUAACUACUGGAAACGGUAGCUAAUACCGCAUCCCAUCAGAUGUGCCCAGAUGGGGUUAGCUAGUCGGUGGGGUAACGGCUCACCUCGGCGACGAUCCCUAGCUGGUCUGGGAGGAUGACCAGCCAAACUGGAACGGGGACACGGUCCAGACUCCUACGGGAGGCAGCAGUGGGGAAUAUUGCACAAUGGGCGAAAGCCUGAUGCAGCCAUGCCGCGUGUGUGAAGAAGGCCUUCGGGUUGUAAAGCACGUUAAGCGGGGAGGCGUUACCCGCAGAAUAAGCACCGGCUAACUCCGUGCCAGCCGCCGCGGUAAUAC
rnacentral:rRNA from 1 species